rnacentral:rRNA from 1 species
CCUACGUGGGGCAGCAGUCGAGAAUCAUUCACAAUGGGGGAAACACUGAUGGUGCGACGCCGCGUGGGGGAAUGAAGGUCUUCGGAUUGUAAACCCCUGUCAUGUGGGAGCAAAUUAAAAAGAUAGUACCACAAGAGGAAGAGACGGCUAACUCUGUGCCAGCAGCCGCGGUAAUACAGAGGUCUCAAGCGUUGUUCGGAAUCACUGGGCGUAAAGCGUGCGUAGGCUGUUUCGUAAGUCGUGUGUGAAAGGCGCGGGCUCAACCCGCGGACGGCACAUGAUACUGCGAGACUAGAGUAAUGGAGGGGGAACCGGAAUUCUCGGUGUAGCAGUGAAAUGCGUAGAUAUCGAGAGGAACACUCGUGGCGAAGGCGGGUUCCUGGACAUUAACUGACGCUGAGGCACGAAGGCCAGGGGAGCGAAAGGGAUUAGAUACCCUUGUAGUC